rnacentral:rRNA from 1 species
GAGUGGUUUAGGGUGACCUAAAAAUAAAGCUAAAGACCUUCUAAGCCGUCACACGCACACCGAAGGCACGAGACCCCAACACGAAAGUAGCUUUACUAUUACCCCUGACGCCACGAAAGCUAAGAAACAAACUGGGAUUAGAUACCCCACUAUG